rnacentral:ncRNA from 1 species
AAAUGGACAGAGGCUGUGUACCCCAGCUACUCGUAUAUUGCCUUUUGAUCCUUCAAUGUGGGCUCUUCCCAUCUCGGUGAAGCAGAAUUCCCCAGCUGAGGUUGUGAAGUUGGAUUGCUGACCCAGUAACAGGAAAGUGAGCUGGGUUUAGACGGGUUAGUU